UGGGUCGACCAGGCGGUCGCGUUGGCUGCGGGUCGGAAGAUGCCGCAGGCACCGAGGAACGUCCGGGCUCCGCAGAGCAGGGUGGUGGGUAACGCCCACUCGGGGUAACCCGCAGGCCAGUGCCACAGAAAACAGACCGCUUCCCGGGGCCCUCGCGGUCGGAGGAAGUAAGGGUGAAAAGGUGGUGUAAGAGACCACCAGCGUGCCGGGUGACCGGCACGGCUCGGUAAACCCCACCCGGAGCAAGGCCAGACAGGGCGCAUUUGAGGGCUGCUCGCCCGAGUGUCCGGGUAGGCCGCUGGAGGGCGUCGGCAACGGCGUUCGUAGAUGGAUGGCCGCCGCUCCCGCACCGGCAACGGAGCGGGAGAACAGAACCCGGCGUACCGGUCGGCCCAUCCC
rnacentral:RNase_P_RNA from 1 species